rnacentral:rRNA from 1 species
UACGAAGGGUGCAAGCGUUAAUCGGAAUUACUGGGCGUAAAGCGUGCGCAGGCGGUUUUGUUAGCCAGAUGUGAAAGCCCCGGGCUUAACCUGGGAAUGGCAUUUGGGACUGCAAGGCUUGAGUGCGGCAGAGGAGACUGGAAUUCCUGGUGUAGCAGUGAAAUGCGUAGAUAUCAGGAGGAAUACCGAUGGCGAAGGCAGGUCUCUGGGCUGACACUGACGCUCAUGCACGAAAGCGUGGGGAGCAAACAGG